CUAAUACAUGCAAGUCGAGCGAACGGACGAGAAGCUUGCUUCUCUGAGGUUAGCGGCGGACGGGUGAGUAACACGUGGAUAAACUACCUAUAAGACUGGGAUAACUUCGGGAAACCGGAGCUAAUACCGGAUAAUAUUUUGAACCGCAUGGUUCAAAAGAGAAAGACGGUAUUGCUGUAACUUAUAGAUGGAUCCGCGCUGCAUUAGCUAGUUGGUAAGGUAACGGCUUACCA
rnacentral:rRNA from 1 species